rnacentral:misc_RNA from 1 species
AUGACACGCGGGACUGUUUUACAAGGAUCACAGGAAGAUCCUUAUUAUUUUGAAAGAGAUGGCUUCUACAUUGGCCAAGCAACAGCAAUGAUGUCAAGAGCUGGGAUGUUUCGUGUUACUGAGGGGGUUGCGGUGGAUAUGAAGGAAAGAGUAUACAGACUACCCUCCUUUUAUGAUUUGCUUGAGGGCGAGAUUUUUCUUCAGAACCUUCCAAGCAUAAUAACUGCACAUGCCUUAGAUCCUCAACCAGGAGAGAGAAUAUUGGACAUGUGUGCAGCUCCAGGGGGGAAAACCACAGCAAUAGCAAGCCUUAUGAAGGACAAA